GUUUGUGGGUUUCAAGGCAUCGUUUUUGAGGUUCGCAUCACACGUCUUAAUCCAAAAUGGAAAGGAGCUAUGGUAGAGGAGAUGAGAGUUUUGACAAAAAAUGGGACAUGGGAUCUUAUUUCUCUUCCAUAGGAAAAAAACCAGUGGGAUGCAAGUGGAUGUUCACAGUUAAACAUAAUGCAAAUGGUUCCAUUAAAAAGUAUAAAGGCAGGUUAAUGGCUAAAGGCUUCACUCAUACAUAUGGAGUGGAUUAUUAGGAGACUUUUGCCCUAUUACAAAAAUGAAUAUCAUCAGAAUCUUAUUGCCAUGUGCCGCAAAUCUUGAGUGGAACCUACAACAAUUUGAUGUAAAGAAUACUUUUUUGCAUGGAGAC
rnacentral:misc_RNA from 1 species